GUCUACAGACAUGCACCCUGAACAUGCCCAAUCUCGUCUGAUCUCGGAAGCUAAGCAGGGUUGGACCUGAUUAGUACUUGGAUGGGAGACCACAUAGGAAUACCAGAUGCUGUAGGCG
ensembl:rRNA 5S_rRNA 5S ribosomal RNA